CAAAAAACCUAGCCGCCGCCCCUUCUCGUCCACCCCUCGCCCCUCCGCCUCCUCUCCUCCCCACUCCCUCCUCUCCCAGGCCGCCGCCCUCGACACACCUCCAUAGCGCCAUCGACACGUCGGGGAUAGGCAGUGGUGGAGCGCAGCCCGAGCUCAGCAGCAGUCCACUCCUAACUCGAGCAAGAGCGGGCAGUGGAUUGGAUCGAGGGAGCCCUCGCGGCCACGCCGCUGGCGCCUGGAUUUCCUAGCCGUCACGUGGAUCCACCCUAGCCGCCGCCUCGAGUCACCUCCAUCGUUGAUGUGGGUCAACUCCACCGCUGCCGCCAGGAAUCCCAUCCCGGUAAGGGGGCUUGUCCUUCCGUGGUGGUCAUCCGCCGUUUGAGAUUGGAGGGAGACUAGGAGACCCUGGCGGAAGCGAGCCUGCUAGCAGAGGCUCCAAGGAUGUUGGGUGAUAGGGCCCAUUCCAUGCCCCGGUUGUGCUGCUGGGAUUUUCAGGAAGAGCCUUCCUACCCAAAAUUAUUGGAUAAAUUCAACAUAUCUGUGGAAAUCUAGUUUUCUGCAGAUUCAUACGCCUCUGAAUGUUGUUCCAUAACUGAUGACUCAAAGUGAUUAUACACUGAAACCGAAGCCUUUGGAAAAUGAAACAGAAACCUUACUUAAGAGCAGGCAGAGGCGUGGAGCCAAUGGUGAUGUUGUUGUUGCCUGUUCUUCUAAACUGCUGCUUGUUCAUCGUUUGCUGUUUUGCCUAUCAAGCAAGAAGGUAACUACUCAAAGCAGUUGGCAAGACAAGCAUUCGAUGGAGCUCAAGCGUUGAUCUUAAGGAAGGUAACUACUCAAAGGUAUGCACCUAUUCAUGUUGGAGCAGUUAAGUUUGCAAGGAUUUGCUGCUGGAGGGCAUGGUAUGUGCUCUCAAGAAGUUCUUCGUGAUCCGGUGACAUCUUUUGGCCUAUUAGGGAACUGGACAUGAUUUAUAUUGCGAAGUUCAAUGUAUGGAUGACAACUUCCUCUCAUAUCUGUUCUGUAUAUUUUAUAUACAUGGCUUUUGUGUUCUAUCAUGUGCGUUCCUGCCGCAGACUUUUGCAGAGAAAUUCACCAUGAGUUAGAAUGUAUAUAUUUUCAACUACAGCCCUUUUUUUCAAAAGGCAAAAGAAUUUCUGCAUGAUCACAUGUCAUGAUUAUUUCCAUGAAAAAUGCUUUAGACAGUACAAAAAUGCUUUAGACAAUACAAAAAUGCUUUAGACUGUACAAAAUUGUAAAGGAAUCAUGGGGCACUGUUGUAUGUCGCUGCUGAACAGAAGCAGGAUGCAACCAUAAAGAUUUUGUUGAAUCACCAUUCAGAUGCAAGUCCCAUUAAAUGUCUCUUUAUCAUUAUCUUAAAUCACAUUCCUUUAUAGUUUUCUCACUGUUAUAUUUGAUAAUCUUCGAUUGUCUGCUUUCUCCAUUUUCCAGUUAGUUGAAUCUUGACAGUAAAUUAGUUAGUAUUUUGUUUUAUCUCUGAAAUCUCGAGAAGUACACAAGUUGUUAGGUGUAGAAAAGUACACAAGUUGUUAACAUUUGAAAUUAGAUUUACGUUCGCCUUUUACUCAUUCUAUUUUUUGCAUAAUUGUGUCCUGUCUGUCAAGACAUGCUGAAAAGCUAGCUGUUCUGCAGCAAGCAGAGAGUCAUGGGCUCUUUCUGUGAGUCACCUGCUUCUCAUGUACAAAUAUUUCACCAUCUAAGUUUGAAAUAAAAUUGUACAUCAAAGAUCUCAAUGAUUUGCCAAGACUCCAAAGUCUUGUUGUUAUUUUUUGUAACUUCUGAUCUUGAACUUUGAUCGACAUCAGAAAAUAUUUUAGUUUAUUUUGGGGUGGAUGUUAUUGUGGUAUCAAUACGGCUUCAUUCCACUUUAUCUAGCGCGGCACAGGUCAAUAACUACUUCCUUUGAUUUCUUCAUCAUGAAUACCUAUAUGCAUUUAUUAAAAAGCCUUUAUUGUUCGUAUUGAGUGAAUAAGAACUGCAGUAGUUUCUCAAUGUGGAGGCCAUUAUAUUACGAUAUAAGAUGGAAUGCUGAAGGGCGAUGUAUCCUUUUGGGGUUAAAGAUAUAAAAAACUACCUGGCUUAUGAGGUUGAAGAGAGCUCAAAUGGCUUCUUUUGGUUCUUGAAGGCCUGCACUUUCCUGGUGGAGCAGCAGCAAAAUAAUUCAGAGGCUUUAAAGCUACUCCACUUCAUGUAGUUAGGAUCAAUUCUUUGUUUUGGUUUGAAAUACUCCCCAGUCCCUCCUAUUUGAUUGAUUCAUCUAAUGGUCAUUUUGCCAGGCAAAUAAAUAGAAGGCAGAUGUUUUUUUGUUGAGAGUAUGGCAUAUGUAUUGUUACAGAGUGAAGCCAUCCAUACAAGUCGAUAUAUUAAUAACCCCAUAUGUGGAAUUCAAGAUAUAGAGAAAUGUUCCUUGUUCUACUAAUCGGUUGCUUGACCAAA